AGUGCAACAAGGCGGCUGUCGCCUAGGCCCCAGGCAAACCGCCUGGACGCCUUGGCGACGCCUUGACAACUAUGAUUGGAGUGAUGUGGUUCUCAUUGCCGCCUAUUGAUCAAUCGGAUGCCCUCCCAUGUGUUACAAUUCCGCUCUCCACUCACUAUUCGUCAAGGAAGUUCAGAUUUUCUCGUGCCUCCUAAGGUGUUCGGUUGUGUCUGUUAUGCAUGCAACCAUCACUCGCAUGGGAAAUUUGACCCUUGAAGCAUCAAGUGCAUUUUCCUAAGGGGGAGCAGUUGGAUCAGUUGGAAGAUGCACCACCUAUUGUUCUUCCUCCCUAUCCUACGGAUAAGGAGACUAGGAUUCAAGGGGAGCGGCCAUCUCAGGUUCUUGAUAAUGGAGGUGAGUCACAAUAAUGGGAGUGAGCCCUUAAGGUUUAUACUCGUCUCAAGCACCACAAGCACCACAAGCAGCAACAACCCACUUCAGCUCCAGUGCCAGCGCCAACUCUACCUAGCCAACCAUCGCAUGCCCUUGAUCUUGGUCCCCUGUCUACCUUGGUAAUGAUUCCUUUCUUGAUUUACCCAUAGCUGUUCGUAAAAGCCCUAGAACCGGUACUCAGCAUCAUAUCUCCAAGUUUGUUUCUUACUCAUCUUUAUCCUCUUCCUAUCGUACAUUUAUGUGUACAUUAUGUGUCUCUCUUCCUCAAAACUGGCAGGAAGCAUUGGCUGAUCCAAGAUGGAAAGCUGCUAUGGUUGAAGAAAUGCAGACACUUAAGAAGAAUGGUGCAUGGGAUCUUGUGACUCUUCCU